AGAACGAAACGCUGGCGGCAGGCUUAACACAUGCAAGUCGAACGCGUGUAGCAAUACACGAGUGGCGCACGGGUGAGUAACGCGUGGAUAUCUGCCUUUUGGUUCGGAAUAACCCCGGGAAACUGGGGCUAAUACCGGAUGGUUCCUACGGGAUAAAGAUUUAUCGCCAAAAGAUGAGUCCGCGUACGAUUAGCUAGUUGGUGAGGUAAUGGCUCACCAAGGCGACGAUCGUUAGCUGGUCUGAGAGGACGAUCAGCCACACUGGGACUGAGACACGGCCCAGACUCCUACGGGAGGCAGCAGUGGGGAAUAUUGGACAAUGGGGGGCAACCCUGAUCCAGCCAUGCCGCGUGAGUGAUGAAGGCCUUCGGGUUGUAAAGCUCUUUUGGCGGGGACGAUGAUGACGGUACCCGCAGAAUAACGCCCCGGCUAACUUCGCGCCAGCAGCCGC
rnacentral:rRNA from 1 species